UACGUAGGGUGCGAGCGUUAAUCGGAAUUACUGGGCGUAAAGGGUGCGCAGGCGGUUCUGCAAGUCAGGCGUGAAAGCCCCGGGCUUAACCUGGGAAUGGCGCUUGAAACUACAGGACUGGAGUAUGGCAGAGGGAGGUGGAAUUCCACGUGUAGCGGUGAAAUGCGUAGAGAUGUGGAGGAACACCGAUGGCGAAGGCAGCCUCCUGGGCCAAUACUGACGCUCGUGCACGAAAGCGUGGGGAGCAAACAGG
rnacentral:rRNA from 1 species